ACAGGGGAGGGGCCAUGGGGGCACUGGCCCCUCCUGAAAACUGAUUGGCCCCCCAGUGUGCCCCCACCCUUCUACUUGUCUGUCACUCAAAAAUUCAAAUCAAAUCUUUCAGCUUGUAGUAGAAUAAUUUAUGAUUCCGCGUCGCGAUGCUUCUCAACGAGGACCAAGAAUAGCAAACUGUUUUCCAACGGAAAAAAACACACGGCAGUGUAACAGGACGUAAAGGCAGGGAGAUAUUCAGUAUUUUUCUGCAAAGAAAGUGCCAGCCAGUGCCAGCCAGUGAGGGAGAGUCCGCGUGAUGGUUUAACGUUACACACAGUGAGUUCAGAGCCUGCCUGCUCAACAGGAGACCUCUUGGUUCAGGAAGAUUUGAGCAUAAAUCAGAACAGCCCUGUACACCCAGCUGUCUCUAGGGAUGAAACAGAUGAGAGUGAAAGUGAUGUGAAAGAGAUGGAUACUUGUCACCCACCUUCAGAAGUGUAAUCUGAGCUUCCACUUACUUCUGAUACUGCUCUUACUGGACCUGAUGACAGAAGAAGAAUGGAGAAGUGAUCAUCUCUGCUUGGUUGAAUGAAGUUGGAGAAAACCUUUUUCAAGUUAACCCUGUUAAAGUCUCUGACAACAAAAGUCAUAACUGAGCUCUGUGUCCAAUUAUUUUAAGACAACAGAAGUAUUUUACAAAUAUUACUAAAGUACAGAA